rnacentral:rRNA from 1 species
CGGGGGGGGCAAGCGUUGUUCGGAAUUACUGGGCGUAAAGGGCUCGUAGGCGGCCAACUAAGUCAGACGUGAAAUCCCCAGGCUCAACCUGGGAACUGCGUCUGAUACUGGUUGGCUUGAAUUCGGGAGAGGGAUGCAGAAUUCCAGGUGUAGCGGUGAAAUGCGUAGAUAUCUGGAGGAAUACCGGUGGCGAAGGCGGCAUCCUGGACCGACAUUGACGCUGAGGAGCGAAAGCUAGGGGAGCAAACGGGAUUAGAUACCCCGGUAGUCCUAGCCCUAAACGAUGAAUGCUUGGUGUGACGGGUAUCGAUCCCUGUCGUGCCGAAGCUAACGCGUUAAGCAUUCCGCCUGGGGAGUACGGUCGCAAGGCUG